rnacentral:piRNA from 1 species
UGGACUACUUGGUGCACUCCCGGGAGUUGA